ensembl:snRNA U5 U5 spliceosomal RNA
ACACUUUGGUUUCUCUUCAAAUCAUGUAGAUCUUUUGCCUUUUACUAAAGAUUUCCGUGGAGAGAAAUAGUUUUGAGUCACUAUGGAAUUUUUUGAGGCCUUGUGUUUCAUGACACU